AAACCUGANAAACCCAAAAGAUCGAAUGGGGAAAUUCAUCGUCAGCGUUGUUGGCUUCCGUGUGGACGCGAUGGCUGGGACUUCGGUUCCGCGUCACGCGUUCGCUGCGGUAUGUCCGAUUUCGUCGGCGUGCACUUCUCCCCUAGUAGGACGUCGCGACCCGUUGGGUGCCGGCCUACGGCCCGGUUGGUCGACUGUCGCGUCGCGCUCACGCGUGUACGUGGCAGACCACCGGUUGCCCGGCCGGCUGCCCGGCGGUAUAGAUCGAUAAUAAACGGUAUUGGGCCGCAUUAAGUGCGUUCUGGCUCGUCGGCAGGCUCGUCUCGCUCGGAUUUACGGACCUAGCGCCGUUGCCGGGCGCUUGGCGCGGCCGUUAGUCGACGAUGUCCUCGGACUGGCUCUUACAUUCGAACGGAUUUACCGGUCGGCGACGCUACUGCUUUGGGUACUUU
rnacentral:rRNA from 1 species